rnacentral:rRNA from 1 species
GUGCCAGCAGCCGCGGUAAUACGUAGGUCCCGAGCGUUGUCCGGAUUUAUUGGGCGUAAAGCGAGCGCAGGCGGUUUGAUAAGUCUGAAGUUAAAGGCUGUGGCUCAACCAUAGUUCGCUUUGGAAACUGUCAAACUUGAGUGCAGAAGGGGAGAGUGGAAUUCCAUGUGUAGCGGUGAAAUGCGUAGAUAUAUGGAGGAACACCGGUGGCGAAAGCGGCUCUCUGGUCUGUAACUGACGCUGAGGCUCGAAAGCGUGGGGAGCGAACAGGAUUAGAUACCCUGGUAGUCC